AAGCGAUGGUCACAUUGUUGUUCUUGUUGAUAAAAUGAAAAAUGUUUGCAGCGAGUAGCUUUAUUCCAUGUUUGUUAAGAUUGCAUCCGCCUCUUCCAAAGAGGUGAAAGCGCUGCCAGUAGAUCCAGAGGUUAUCGAUGAAGGUCACUGAGCUGGCAGAGCAGGUUUUAAUCAGCCAUUUGUUUAUCAUGCCCAGCCUGGAAUGUUUUUCGUCUCCCCAUUGAGGCGAUGGAAUUGGACCGCUGAGAAAUAACUUCAUUUUUAAUUUUCCCAUAGUGUCCAGAAGAAUAUUAAAGUCCUUUUUCAGAAUCUCCGAUUUUUGCUUUGCCAGAUCGUUGGCUCCAACAUGCACAACUAAAGUCUCCAUGUUUGGCUGAUCAGCGGUUAGAGAGAGCACUUUGCGAAGCUUUGUGGGGUGGAUGUGAUGGUUUAGCCUCAUUGUUGAUGUUUGAAGGUGGGUUUUCACUCAGAGGCUCAGGCUGGAGUGCAGAAAAUCUGUUUUUCAGUGGGAUUCCCACGGAGUCGGAAUGUUUUGAGGCUUGGGCUGGUCGCUUUGUCCUUGGGAGCGGGGUCGGUGGGGCCGUUUUGGUUCCAGCUGCUUGUUUGCUAUUCUUUGGCGGAGCAGGUGUUGAAGUUGAAGGUGGGUUUCGGCUCAGAGCCGGCCACGCUGUUUCGUCCAGGUGAGGGGUUCUCCCCGUUAGUCGUCUCAUGGGAUCUGCAGUGUGAGACUUUUGUUUCGGCUUGGCGCCCUGAGCGAUCCAGGGUGAGCUGCUUGGUGCGGGGUGUACGACCUCUCCGCUGAUUUGAGGAAGAGUUGUUUCAUUUCCACAGGUAGCGUUGAUCUCAAAGUUCACCUCCAGCCGUUGAAUCUUCGUUUCUAAAAA